rnacentral:piRNA from 1 species
UAAAAAACUAAAGUGACUGGCACUAA